rnacentral:rRNA from 1 species
AUGACCUCGGAUCAGGUAGGGAUACCCGCUGAACUUAAGCAUAUCAAACCCCGG